rnacentral:rRNA from 1 species
CGCGUAGGAACCUGCCCAGUAGUGGGGGAUAGCCCGGUGAAACCGGAUUAAUACCGCAUACGCUCUACGGAGGAAAGGGGGCGUUCGGCUCUCGCUAUUGGAUGGGCCUGCGUGAGAUUAGCUAGUUGGUGAGGUAAUGGCUCACCAAGGCGACGACGGGUAGCCGGCCUGAGAGGGCGACCGGCCACACUGGGACUGAGACACGGCCCAGACUCCUACGGGAGGCAGCAGUGGGGAAUAUUGCACAAUGGGCGAAAGCCUGAUGCAGCGACGCCGCGUGAGGGAUGACGGCCUUCGGUU